GAAAUGCGAUAAGUAGUGUGAAUUGCAGAAUUCAGUGAAUCAUCGAAUCUUUGAACGCACAUUGCGCCCCUUGGUAUUCCAUGGGGCAUGCCUGUUCGAGCGUCAUUUGUACCCUCAAGCUCUGCUUGGUGUUGGGUGUUUGUCCCCGUCUCCGCGCGUGGACUCGCCCCAAAGUGAUUGGCAGCCGGCGUACUGGUCCCGGAGCGCAGCACAUGUCGCGCAAACGAGUGCCUUGGUACGGCGGCGUCCAUAAGCCCCUCUCUCACGCUCUUGACCUCGGAUCAGGUAGGGAUUCCCGCUGAACUGAAGG
rnacentral:misc_RNA from 1 species